CGCAUUCAAUCAAUGGAGAUGGCGGAGAAUGGCGAUUUAAGUUUUGCAUUUAAAUCAGCAUACUGCUCGAUUUAUUCAAUUGAGGGGGGAGAACGAUGAGCUGUUCACCGGGGUGAAAUACUCAGCAAGUGUGGCUUGGGGGACAAUUCUGGAGAAAAUAGGCCUGCAGGGGAAGGUGACUCCCCUGCAGGCAAAGAAAAAAAUGGGACGAUUUAAAAAAUAUAUAUAAAGAUUGCAAGUAUCCAGGGUCAGGAGAGGGGGUAGGUGGGAAACCCACUGCUGCCACUUGGCCCUGGUUUGUCCCCAUGGAUAAGGUAUUGGGACAGAGGCAUUCCACCAACCCCCAUGUCCUAAUUGCCUCCAUCCCUGAGAACACACCAGGGCCAAGUACA
ensembl:lncRNA